UCUAUCGGCAAUGGUGGCCAUUCUGUUAUUGAGUAUAAAGAGAAUAUUGAAGUCUGGGAUGCAAAAAAACUUUGGAAGAGCAGUACAGCCUCAUUUGUUAGGAUGGACAUGGAUUAUUUACUGGAGUGGAUGCUCUAAUCUUCUUUCUAGACAUCUGGGUGGAAAAUUUAGAGCGAGAACUGGCUUUUUGCAGUGCACGGAACAAGCAGAAUCAUGGAACAUUCACAGGUCCACACUGGACUGUGCAAGCUGAAAUAGUCUGAAAACUUUCCUGCCUUGGUAACAUCCAUUCCUUUGUUAUCUGUUUGCUGUCUUAUAACUACUUCUAAUGAAAGACUAUACUUUAUUUCCCAGCCUGAACUACUUAACUUCCUUACUUGCCUCUUGUCAGGGAUUUUACUGAAGGAUUAUUUUAAAGUCUGAAUGAAUGAGUAGCAUUCAGUUCUCUCAAUCCACUAUUUUAUCAAGUCAUUCAAAGAACCCUGGUAUAUUAGGUCAUCUUAAGAAGCAGAAACUGCUCAGUUUCAUAUACCUCGUAAUGUAAUAGCAACUGUGCAUUUGGGACCCAUAGGUAGAGCCCAUUAUAGAAAGAUGAACACCCCCCCCACAAGAAUCAGACUAAGAUAAAUUCAUUCUCAUCCCAAUUCUGUGUACUAUUGACAAGUACUAAAUUAUCAAACUACCUCUUCCAGCUGAAGGAGAGGAACCAUGCAGGGAGGUCAGAUGCCCAAAUGACCUUGACUCUAUUGAACACGUGCAGGUUACAACUGAGAGCUCCAGAGCAGCAGCAGGGCUUCAUUAAACAAACUGCCGAACAUACACAGCACAGGACUGAGAGUCAGUCUCCAGGGGUCCCUUACUUAUUCUGCAUAUGUGCAACAAAGGCAGCUUUCAGUUACCCUCCUAAACUGGUAAGCUAGAGCUGUGCUGGCACUUGAUUAUUUUAAGGUAUUUAUUUAAUGGUAAAAAAGAUUAGUACAGACAAGUGUCCUUCAAUGAUCUUGUAAUGUCAGAACACACACAACAGGCUCACUUCCUGAAAUACCUGAAAAUGAAUCUGAAGCUUGCUA